rnacentral:lncRNA from 1 species
CAAGGACAUAUUCCUUGUCCUUGUAGAGAGUGACCAUCCUUAUGUUCCUAAUUGAAAUUAGUUCCAUCAAAGAUGACUCUCCCACAAAGAUUCAUGAGAGAGAAGGAACAUGUUGGGUUUGAGCCAGAAGCAGCAUUGUUAGAAGACAUCUAAAAAAGAAGAAAGACAAGUUUAGAUUAGAUAUAGAAUCCUUAAUAAGACACCCAAAUGAAAUAUUAAGGCUAGGACCCAACACAAUAUUUUAUAACUUAGAAGAUGGAUGCCAUCAUUCAAGCUACAAAAUAUUUGAAGGUAGGUAAAUGACGAUUUACUAAUUUCCACCACGAAAAACAAAAAAGAUUAAUAAGUUUUAAUUCGUUUGAAAACUCCUAGAUCUUUUGAGAUUCAUUGAACAAUUCAAUGGCAUGUUUAAAUCUCGAAUAUGCCCUUCAAGUUUGUGACUGGGAUACCGAGGAUCACAAAACAAGGUGUGAAUAACAAUGCAAAUUAACUUGGUACUCUUAACUUUAUUACCUAUUCGAUGUACCGUUUAACCACACACGCUCCAUCGAUCUAUAAUAAACAUUAAGCUACCCUUUGCCACCCUUACUAGUCCAUGUUAGUGUAUCGGUUAACCACGCACGCUCCACUAACAACUUGGUAAUGGUACAAAGUGUAAUUUCAUGGGUUAGCAUCAAUUUCACAUUUUCCUAAAGUAACUAAGAUUGGGAAUUUAUAAAAGUUUAGGUACUUUAUAAUUAUCAUUAUACUUAUAAUGAAGGGAGAAUUAUAGUCAUAUCCUACCCGUUCGGCUAACGACCCUCCACCAGUCAAGGAAGCGGUGGGUGAGAGUGGACACCCAUUAAGAUUCCAUUUUAUACGCAACAACCUUAUACCCCCCUUAUAGACCAAUUUCGUGAAUGAGGCCUACUAACGGUAAGACUGACUUGAUCUUAUGUAUACAUAUAUUAUUAACUUGUAAUAUUAGAAAGUACAAGAGUUGAAUUUUGAACUUUUAAAAUUCUAGGGUUUGGAACUAAAGUUUUCUAAAGUGACUUUACAAAUUCCAAAACUUGAGGGCGAGUUUUGAAACUAUUCAAAACCUUUCAUUUCUAUAACUUAUGAGUUUUAAAGGCUUUUAAUGGAAGAGGCUUUUGGAAUUCCAUAACUUGAGGACAAGUUAUGGAGUCCAUUAUGAAGCAUUUAGAUCAACAAUUAACUAACAAACAAUUUACAAAUAAUUCCUAUGAUCUAACAAAAACUCGUAAGCAAGGAACAUCCAUAUCAACAAUUUUCAAGCAUCAUAUGAACUUAAUAUAAAACUUUAGACUUUGACAACUAUCAUUGAAAUUGGAUAAGCACAAUCAUUACCACAUCAAAAACAAGUUUAACAAUCUAAAAACAGUUUAGGGUAAUGAUCCUAGUCGAAUUCUAGAAAUCAAACUCGAAAUUUUGCACUCAAGGCCUCCAACUCUUCGAGUGCAUGAACCAAAUCGAUGAGUUGGAUGAGUUUUCACAUGGACUCGUCGAGUCCCCCCAUGGACUCGGUGAGUUCAUUGAGCAGUGAGCAGAAAUUCGACUUUUUUCAGCAAUUUACAUCAAGUAUAAUAUAAAACAAACCUUAGCUCUGAUACCAUUGAUGGGUUUUGAGCAUUCUAAAACUCCUAUGGUGUACAUGCAACCCUAGAAACCUUGGAUCUAUGUUUUCACUAUUAUACAUGCAAAUUUGAUUUUUUCAAGGUUUCAUACUAACUAGCAUAUCAUAAGGCAUAUGUAAUAUAAAAAACUAGUAGAAUGACAUACCUUUUAUUGUAGGUUGAUUCCUUAAGACCUUGUGAGCCUAGCACCCCAAGUGUGAUGCCUCAAAUGUCUCACACAAUACCACAACUAUUGUAAUAACUUGACAAAAGAACACUUGUACUCAAAAUUCGGGUAGCCUUCACUUGUAUGUCUAUUGGCCGAUUUUACUUGCUAUGAGGUCCUUUAUAUAGUGUGUCACAUGUAGGGUUACACCAUGCAAACCCUAAUGUGCAUGACUUUUCAUUCCAUGAUCCAUCGGUUUUAACCUCCAUGGAGCAUCCAUGGAUCACCCUACAGGUUUUAGCCCAAUCUAAUGAAUCAUAGAUCAUAAGCCUGCUAUAUAAGAAUGAAUGAUUUACACAAUCAAUCCCCAUGUAUUUAAUUAGUCUGUUUUGAACACAAAAUUAGUUCCAAAUUGAUUAUUGAUCAAUACUAAUUAAAUAAUAUGAUUUAAUAUUAAUAUAUUAGAACUUAUAAUAUUUUAACAAAUCACAAGUAUCCUUUUCUCAUUUUGUCUAUCCAAUUGUUCUGAUGCUAUGCAACCCAAAUGUACUAUGCUAAGUCGGGUGAAGUACAUACCAAAAAUAAUUAUGGACUUAGACACCCUAUCCAACAUAUCAUUUUUCAAUGGAGCGUACAUGGUUAACCGAAAUAUUGAUUAAAUGAUUUGUAACAUCGAGAGUACCAAGUGCAUUUGCAUGGUUAUUCACACCUUGUUUGUGAUCCUCGGUAUCUCAGUCACAAACUUGAAGGGCAUAUCGAGAUUUAAACAUGCCAUUGUAAAUUUCAAUGAAUUUCAAAAGGAUCUAGGAGUUUCAAUUCAUUUAAAACUUAGUCUCUUUUUCGUUUUUCAUGGUGGAAAUUAGUGAAUCCUACUGUUGUAAAAAUCCCGACUAGGUCCCGAUUAAUCUCCGAUUAAUCCCUAGGCGCUACUUGAUCGAUUAGGGGGCGCCUAGCGAUUAAUCCUUGCAUACAUAAUGAGUGAAACAUUAUAAAACGAUGAAAUUUUAACAUUUUGAAGAAGUUUUAUUUCAAUAGAAACUAUUUAAGGCAUGAUUAGUGUUGUAUUAAUCAUAUUAACCUAUUUUGUUAUCAUAUUAGUGGCAUUUACGAACUUUGAUAUGAUAUUAGUCAUAUUUAAUUUUUUAAAAUUCAACAAAUUAGCAAUUAAUGGUCCCCGAUUAAUCCCCCGGUAAAUCUCCGCCUAGCGGAUUAAUCCCUUGACCCCAGUCCACCGACUAGCUAACGUCAAGUGUCUUUUACAACUUUGGUGAAUCGUAAUUCAUUUACCUUCAAUUUAUUUGCAUUUUCGAUUACGGCAUCCCACUUCUAAAUUGUGAAUAAUUUACUUGGGUCCUAGCCCUAAUUUCUCAUUUGGGUGUUUAAUUGUGGAUUAUUAUCUAAUCAAACUUUUUGUCCUUUUCUUUUUAGAUGUCUAAUUCAAAGAACAACGCUUCUAGCUCAACCCCUGCUGGCUUAUGACCCGAUACAUUGUAAAACAAGUUCAAAACUUGAUUGUCAUACAUUGACUGAAUAUCAUUGUCCAUGGACUCUUUCCAUUUGGAUGACUCGGGGCCUGCCAUGGCUUCCUUAUAGCUAUUAGGUUCAUCCAGAUUAACCAAUGUACUAUCACUGAUCAAUGUAUCACCUUUUGCAGUAAUAUGGAAACCAUAAUAAUGCUCAGGUGCAUUCCUAACUCUAGUGGAACGCCUCAGAGGUACAGAAUCGUCAAUUGGCUCAACAGGAGUUUCAUCCUUAGGUUGAUGGCUAGUGUUUGAGGAUCCUUCACCGCUUGACUCUUGAAGCUCUUCAGGAUCAAUUUUCCUGCCACUGUUUCCUUGGCUUAUGAAUUCUCUCUCAUGAAAGACUCAUCUCAUUGCUACAAAGACCACAUUUUCACUGGAUCUGUAGAAGAGGUAACCAAAGGAUUUUUGUGGGUAGCCGAUGAAAAUACACCACUCACUUCAAGGUUCGAGCUUGUCGUGACUCCCGCUUCUCACGAAAGCCUCGCAACCCCAAAUCUUGAUGUGGUCUAAUGUGGGAGCUUUCCUAGUCCACAUCUCGUGAGAUGUUUUGUCAACCUUUCUAGUUGGAACUAGAUUAAGGAUGUGGGAGGAAAUCUCUAAGGCAUACCCCCAAAAAGAGAUUGGUAACAAAGUCCGACUCAUCAUGGAACGAACCAUGUCCAACAAAAGUUCGAUUACGCCUCUCAACAAUACCAUUAAGCUGUGGUGUUAUAGGAGGUGUCAAUUGUGAGACAAUCUCACAUUCCUUAAGAUAGUCAAGGAACUCGAUACUAAGAUACUCACCACCCUGAUCGGAUCGGAGCAUCUUUAUCUUCCUAUCCAGCUGAUUCUCCACUUCUUGUUUAAACUCUUUGAAUUUCUCAAAUGUUUCUGACUUAUGCUUGAUUAAGUAGACAUAACCAUAUAUAUUGUAAUCAUCAGUAAAAGUCACAUAGAAGCAGUUAGCAUCCUUUAUGGUGGUUCUGAAGGGUCCACACACAUCUAUAUGUAUGAGGUCCAACAAAAUCUCAUCCCUUUCACAAGUACAAGUGAAGGGUGACUUAGUCAUUUUUCUAAGUAAAUAAGAAUCACAACUAACAUUUGACUUUAAGUCAAAUGACUUCAAGACUCCGUCCUUUUGGAGUUGCCAUAUGCACUUCUUGUUGACAUGUCCAAGACAACAAUGCCACAAGGAUGCUUUAUCCAAACUAACGGAAGAAUCAAUAUUCAAUACAUUAUUUUCUAAGUUGUCUACAACAUCCACAGCUUCAUAUACACCAUUACUAGGUAAUGCUUUAAAGUAAAAUAUAUCAUUGUAAAAAAAAACAUUAAUAGCACCAAUAUCAUUAUCAAAUGAAAGAGUAAAUCUUUGUUUAUACAAGCCAUGAAUAGAAAUAAUAUUUCUCGGCAUUUCAGACGAGUGACAACAUUUAUUCAAAUCUAAUGUUAGCCCACAACUAAGCAAUAAAGAGUAAACUCUAAUCUUGGUGACAGGUGAUCCUUUCCUAUUCCCCAUUAUUAAGUUUACCUUCCCUUGCUCCACAUGCUCACUUCUUUUUAGGCCCUGCAUAUCAGAACAAAUGUGAAUUCCACAACCUGUAUCAAGGACCCAAGAAUUAGUAUGUGGUGAGUUGUUAGACAUAAUAGUAUAAAUACCUGUAUGGGUAGGUUUAACCUUCCCAUCCUUAACAUCUUGCAGGUACUUAGGGCAGCUUCGCUUCCAGUGUCCUUUUUCUUGACAUUAAAAGCAUUUUGCUUCUUUUGGGUUGGAAAAGGGGGUAGCGGGACCACCUUUGGUUCCACAUGAAGAGGAUCCAUCAAGAGACUCUCCCUUGGUGCCCUUGGAAGGGGUCUUCUUCUUCUUCCCUUUACCUUACCCGAUUGCCAGAACAUGGGCAGUAGUAGCAGUAGUCACAACAUUUUUACCUUUAAGACCACUUUUUGCAGUACUUAAAAGUCCCUAAAGCUUACUCAAAGUGGCCUCCUCCUUGUUCAUAUGAUAGGUCAUUCGGAAGUAAUCAUAACAUGGAGGUAAGGAGUGUAGAAUGUUAUCUAUAACCAGCUCCUCAUCAAAGUUCACAUUCAAUUUAAGCAGAUGGUCCACAAACAUUUGCAUUUUCUGUAGGUAGACCGUGAUGGGUUCACUAUCCUUUAUCUUUAUUGUGAUCAUAGAGUAGAUGAUUUCAUACCUCUCUUGACGUGCACUCUGAUGGUAUCUUUCCAUCAGAUCCUAGUGCAUCUCAAAAGGGUAGAAGUCCUCAUAGGACUUUUGUAGUUCAGGUGCCAUAGUGGCAAGAAUGAUACAAGCUACCUUAGUGGCAUCUUUCUCAUGUGCCCUAAAGUCAGCAAUUUCCUGAGGAGUAGCAGCAGACUCAUCGAUGUCCUUAAUCUCCUUGUCAAGGACAUAUUCCUUGUCCUUGUAGAGAGUGACCAUCCUUAUGUUCCUAAUUGAAAUUAGUUCCAUCAAAGAUGACUCUCCCACAAAGAUUCAUGAGAGAGAAGGAACAUGUUGGGUUUGAGCCAGAAGCAGCAUUGUUAGAAGACAUCUAAAAAAGAAGAAAGACAAGUUUAGAUUAGAUAUAGAAUCCUUAAUAAGACACCCAAAUGAAAUAUUAAGGCUAGGACCCAACACAAUAUUUUAUAACUUAGAAGAUGGAUGUCGUAAUUCAAGCUACAAAAUAUUUGAAGGUAGGUAAAUGACGAUUUACUAAUUUCCACCACGAAAAACGAAAUAGAUUAAUAAGUUUUAUUUUGUUUGAAAACUCCUAGAUCUAUUGAGAUUCAUUGAACAAUUCAAUGGCAUGUUUAAAUCUCGAAUAUGCCCUUCAAGUUUGUGACUGGGAUACCGAGGAUCACAAAACAAGGUGUGAAUAACAAUGCAAAUUAACUUGGUACUCUUAACUUUAUUACCUAUUCGAUGUACCGUUUAACCACACACGCUCCAUCGAUCUAUAAUAAACAUUAAGCUACCCUUUGCCACCCUUACUAGUCCAUGUUAGUGUAUCGGUUAACCACGCACGCUCCACUAACAACUUGGU